UACGGAGGGGGCUAGCGUUGUUCGGAAUUACUGGGCGUAAAGGGUCGGUAGGUGGCCGAUUAAGUCAGACGUGAAAUCCCUCAGCUUAACUGGGGAACUGCGUCUGAUACUGGUUGGCUUGAGUGCAGGAGAGGAACGCGGAAUUCCAGGUGUAGCGGUGAAAUGCGUAGAUAUCUGGAGGAACACCGGUGGCGAAGGCGGCGUUCUGGACUGCAACUGACACUGAACGACGAAAGCCAGGGGAGCAAACGGG
rnacentral:rRNA from 1 species